UGGGGAAUUUUGGACAAUGGGCGAAAGCCUGAUCCAGCAAUGCCGCGUGUGUGAAGAAGGCCUUCGGGUUGUAAAGCACUUUUGUCCGGAAAGAAAUCCUUGGCUCUAAUACAGUCGGGGGAUGACGGUACCGGAAGAAUAAGCACCGGCUAACUACGUGCCAGCAGCCGCGGUAAUACGUAGGGUGCAAGCGUUAAUCGGAAUUACUGGGCGUAAAGCGUGCGCAGGCGGUUUGCUAAGACCGAUGUGAAAUCCCCGGGCUCAACCUGGGAACUGCAUUGGUGACUGGCAGGCUAGAGUAUGGCAGAGGGGGGUAGAAUUCCACGUGUAGCAGUGAAAUGCGUAGAGAUGUGGAGGAAUACCGAUGGCGAAGGCAGCCCCCUGGGCCAAUACUGACGCUCAUGCACGAAAGCGUGGGGAGCAAACAGGAUUAGAUACCCUGGUAGUCCACGCCCUAAACGAUGUCAACUAGUUGUCGGGUCUUCAUUGACUUGGUAACGUAGCUAACGCGUGAAGUUGACCGCCUGGGGAGUACGGUCGCAAGAUUAAAACUCAAAGGAAUUGACGGGGUCAUAGCUG
rnacentral:rRNA from 1 species